rnacentral:piRNA from 1 species
UGAGAUAAAUGGAUAGCUGACGUGAAGU